rnacentral:lncRNA from 1 species
ACAAGUCAAUAUUCUGCUCUGUAGACUGACUGAUCAAAACAUCGGUCUACACCUUAAGCGGGCAUUGUAGGAUAUAUUUUUUUCCAAAUUUCUUUCAUGAACAUGCUUGGCACAUCUAUUUGAGCAUGUAGAAAAAAUUCGGGGUGAUUUGGAGGUGGUGGAAAAAUCACAUUUUCUACAAAAACUGGCUUAAGUGAGACCAAAUGGUCCCUCGUGUUUAAGCGUGAUUUUUCGACCUUCUUUAAAUCACCUAUAAUUUUGCACACUUGAUAUGUUGCACAAACAUAGCUAGGUUUUCAAGGUUUUAUAAUUGUUUAUUUUUUUAAAUUUAUUCUGCCCUGUAGACUGACUGAUCAAAACAACGGUCUACACCUUAAGCGGGCAUUGUAGGGUAUUUUUUUUGCAAAUUUCUUUCAUAGACAUGCUAGGCACAUCUAUUUAAGCAUGUAGAACAAAUUUGGGAUGAUUUGGAGGUGGUGGAAAAAUCACAUUUUCUACAAAAACUGGCUUAAGUGAGAUCAAAUGGUCCCUCGUGUUUUAGCGUGAUUUUUUUCGAGCUUCUCUAAAUCACCUAUAAUUUUGCAUACUUGAUAUGUUGUACAAACAUAGCUAGGUUUUAAAGGUUUUAUAAUUUUUUUGAAUUUAUUCUACCCUGUAGACUGACUGAUCAAAACAUUGGUCUACACCUUAAGCGGGCAUUGUAGGAUACAUUUUUUUUCCAAAUUUCUUUCAUAGACAUGCUUGGCACAUCUAUUUGAGCAUGUAGAACAAAUUUUGGGUGAUUUGGAGGUGGUGAAAAAAAAUCACAUUUUUUUACAAAAACUGGCUUAAGUGAGACCAAAUGGUCCCUCGUGUUUAGUCGUGAUUUUUUCAACCUUCUCUAAAUCACCUAUAAUUUUGCACACUUGAUAUGUUGCACAAACAUAGCUAGGUUUUCAAGGUUUUAUAAUUUUAUAUUUUUUUUUAAUUUAUUCUGCCCUGUAGACUGACUAAUCAAAACAACGGUCUACAGGUUAAGCGGGCAUUGUAGGAUACAUUUUUUUCCCCAAAUUUCUUUCAUAGACAUGCUAGGUACAUCUAUUUAAGCAUGUAGAACAAAUUUGGGGUGAUUUGGAGGUGGUGGAAAAAAAUCACAUUUCUACAAAAACUGGCUUAAAUGAUCCCUCGUGUUUUAGCGUGAUUUUUUCGACCUUCUCUAAAUCACCUAUAAUUUUGCACACUUGAUAUGUUGCACAAACAUAGCUAGGUUUUCAAGGUUUUACAAUUUUUUAAUUUUUUUUGAAUUUAUUCUGCCCUGUUUACCUGGCAUUGCCGGCCUAGAGAUCAAGUCUUCUGGCAAUACAAAACAACAUGGUAUAGAAACAACCGCUUUAUUGAUGCUAGCGGAUUACAUAAGUCUGAUAUUACAUCGAGAUACAAGGCCAAGCGGCACGCACAGUGCUGCUAGAAAUUAUGUACAUUAUUUAAUGAACAUGACGGGGGCCUCGAUCACACGAACUACGCGGCAGCGGAAGAACGACGAAGUGGAACUCCAUAGCACAGGGACACCAACGUGGACACGGCCUAGACGCGAGAUGCGCUCCGAUGUGAACUGACUUGCCUGAAAGCUGG